GGCAUGAACGGAUUUCUGGAAAGUAACUGUAUCUUAUUUAUUUCCGCGAAAUUAAUUUGUAAGUGAAAAUACUUACAUCUUUAGAGAGGACGAGAAGACCCUAGAAAUUUCUUUCAUUUUGUUGGGGCGACAGAAUUACAAUUAAACUAAUUUGAAUUAACGUGGCGUUAUUACAGUUCGAUUAAAAUUACUCCUAGGGAUAACAGCAUAAUUUAACUAGUUUGUGACCUCGAUGUUGGACUAGGACAUUAAUGGUCUAAAAGACCUUUAAUAGUGCUCUGUUCGAGCAAAUAU
rnacentral:rRNA from 1 species